GGCUUCUCACCCAUCAAGUGGGAUAAGGCCCCCCGCAGACCACGGGAUCAAUAGACCAGACCUGCACACCCAGCAAUGGACAAAGGGAACUGGCACUAACCGGCCGAAAACUUACACACAA
rnacentral:rRNA from 1 species